CCUACGGGAGGCAGCAGUGGGGAAUAUUGCACAAUGGGGGAAACCCUGAUGCAGCGACGCCGCGUGAGUGAAGAAGUAUUUCGGUAUGUAAAGCUCUAUCAGCAGGGAAGAAAAUGACGGUACCUGAGUAAGAAGCCCCGGCUAACUACGUGCCAGCAGCCGCGGUAAUACGUAGGGGGCCAGCGUUAUCCGGAUUUACUGGGUGUAAAGGGAGCGUAGACGGCAGUGCAAGUCUGGAGUGAAAGGCGGGGGCUCAACCCCCGGACUGCUGUGGAAACUGUACGGCUGGAGUGCAGGAGAGGUAAGUGGAAUUCCUGGUGUAGCGGUGAAAUGCGUAGAUAUCAGGAGGAACACCAGUGGCGAAGGCGGCUUACUGGACUGUAACUGACGUUGAGGCUCGAAAGCGUGGGGAGCAAACAGGAUUAGAUACCCUAGUAGUC
rnacentral:rRNA from 1 species